CUGGGGUGGCUUCCUGCUGUGCCACGUCCCCACGGCAUCUGUGUCCUCGUGGCAUCGGUCUGUGUCUUGGUACCCAGGCAGGGAUGCUGCCCCGGACCUGGGAUCUCUCUCCUCCCAAGUGCCGCCAUCUGCCUUGUCUGGCUUGAUCCCUGCAUGGGGGUGGCCCCAGGAGAACGUGGCCCAUGGGGAGAUGGGGGUCACAGUGUCCCCCGUGCCUUGGUGAUAUCUCUCUUGCUGGCCCUGGUCCCUGCCAGGGGCUGCCUUUGGAAGUGCUGUGGUGGGAGGUGGUUGGGGACAAGAGGGAAUGCGUCCCCAGAGCAGCAACAGCGUGGGAGAGAGAAAGAGGGACAGUCAGUACCUCUCGGAUGCUCAUCCGAACGCCAAGGAUGCUCAGGAGCGAUGGGGGAAACUAAGGCACGGCUGAACAGGCUCCAGAUGCACUUCUUGUGUUGGGACUGUCACAAGAACCCCCAAAAUUUCAGAACCGGAUUCCUGCAGCUCCAACCCCUUCAUUAAAAUCCCCCUGGCAUCCCGCAGCCACCCCGGCCACGUGCUCAGCCCCAGCCGUUGCCUCAUGCAGCUCAACACUGCCGGCAAUUUUUGGGCAGACGGCGGCUCAAACCUGCCCCCGCGCUAACCCUUCCCUCUGCAGGGGGACCCCACGCCAGGGCUCCCCAAAACCCAUCGCCCUUCCCUGGCCACCUCCCGGCAGCGCUGCCUGUGCAGCCACCAGCUGGGGUCCCCUUUAAGCUAUUUUUUAGUUGGGAGAAAUUUCCUUCUCUGGCAGCGGGAAAACCACGGUGGCCACGCUCGGAGCUGGGGAAUUUCGGGGCUGAGCAAACCCCUGUCGCUGCUCCGGGCAGGAUUUGUCCUCCCGGGGUGUCACGGCUCGGGGGUGGAUUUUUCCUGUGCUGAUAAAACUUCAUCCUCCGCCAGAGCUCGGAGUGGUGUUGGGGCACAUGGACACGCAUCCCACGGGGAGUCUCCGGUGUCUGAUACUGUGGUUGGGCUCACAGCACAGCCAUGGGGGUGCUUGAUUAUAAUAAAGGACUUUUGGGGAGGAUGAAACCCAAAAUGGUAAAGUAGCCUAAUUGAAAAUCUCCUCCUUUCUUUAGCAGAUCCAUUUGCUCCUCAAUAUUAAUGAAGUCACCCUCCCAAUUAAUUCUCUGUUUGCCCACUGGAGGCCCCGGGGUGGAAACUCAUUAAUUUUUCACCAUCCAAACUCCAUCAGGAAUAAUAUGACAAAUUUCUGGGGUUUUCCCCACAAAAUCCUCCCUGGAGAUGUUGCACUGGGCAGCAGCGGGGACCUGCCGGAGCAUCGUCCCCGUGGAUGGGGGCAGCCGGUCCAUCCGCCCCCGCUGCCGCAUCCCUCGGGAUGGAGGGCGUGAGCACGCGGCGGCACGGGGGGAAAAUGAGAAUUAAACAGCAGCUUAAUUGCAUUUGAAGUCGUGAUUGGGUUUUUUAUCCGUUAGAGAUCAUCAGCAGAGCCAUCUCAGCAUUUCUCCUGAGCCCGGCUGGAGAGCCCCAUCCUGCUUGGCUGCACCACCCUCUUCCUCAUGGGAUGAAGGCUGGGACCCACGGCCCUCCUCCCAGUACCUCCCAGUACCUCCCAGUACCUCUGUGCCAUCUCCCACCACUCUGCUCCAUGGCCCUUUUUCUUCAAUUUCCUCACUUAUUUUGAGGAAGAUUUGCAGGGGCGGCUGGUGGAAUUAACAGACGUAAAGCCACAUGCCCCCACGCCCCCAUGGAGACCUUGUGCUGGAUCCUCUCCUGCCCAGAGCGUGUCCCGCCAGCUCCUUCUGUCAGCGUGGCUGCAAGUCUGGGCUCAGACACGUCACCUAGUUGAAAUUCACAGUUGUCCUUGUGGAGGAGAGAGGGAACCCGGCAGGGAUGGGGAUGGAUGAGGAUGGGGAUGGAGCAUUGGAUGAGAACAAGGACUAGGAUGGGGAUGGGAAUGGGAUGAGGAUGUGGAUAGGAUGGGGAUGAGCAUGAGGAUGAGAACUGGGAUUGGGAUUGGCAUGGGGAUGGGGUUGCGGGUGGGAUGAGAUGGGUGGGAUGGGAUGAGAUGAUGAGAUGAGAUUAUGAGAUGAAUGGGAUGGGAUGGGAUGGAAUGAGAUGGGAUGUUGAGAUGUGAUGAUGAGAUUGAGAUGGAUGGGAUGGAUGCGAUGAGGAGGAGCAUGAAGAUAGCAACGGGAUGGGGAUCCCUCAUAGGGGUGGAGAUGGGAAGGGAUGGAGAAAGGAUGGGAUGGGGUUGGAGAUGGGAUGGGGUUGGAGAUGGGAUGGGGAUGACAUGGGGAUGGGAUGGGGAUCCCUCACAGGGACAGGGAAAACUGGCUGAGAUGGGGAUGGGAUGGUGCAAACCUGAGCUGGGUGCCCUCAAAUCCACCAGAACAACCCCACGGACAACUCACCCCAGGGCAGCGGGAGGAUUCUGGGAUCCCACAUUGCUCACGCUGAGCACAGGGAGGGGGACGUGAGAGGCCCAGGGUGGCUGCUGUGUCAUUUUAAAGUCACCUGCUGGCACUGGGCCCUGGGAGGCGACGGAGGCAUCAAUCUCCCGGGGCCAUUGCUGUCAGCUGGGUAUUUAGUGCAAUGUUUCUUAAAUGAACGCUUGAUGGAAGAAGAGGGAUGGCUGCAGCGUACCGAGCCACAAGGUUAUCCCGGCGGCCGCGCCGGCUGCCAGUCCCAGCACCUGCUGUCAAACCCGGGCAGGCGGCCGUGAUAACCCCCCGGGAGGUUUCGGGAGCCGCUGCUGGCUUGACUGUGGCCAUUCCCACACCAGGGUGGAUUUCAGAGCAAAUCACACUCCUCAUGGGGGAAACACCGGGCAAAGCUCCCGGCUGCUGGUGCAGGUGGGGAGAGAAAGGAGAAUGGGAAAGGUUUUGAGAGCUCCAUUGAAUUUGGGUUCACAAGGGGGAAAAUAGUCCAUCUGUGGGGGGAGGCGAGACUUCUGCUUCAGAGAAAUUCUGUAUGAAAAUCGGGAAAGAUGGAAAUGAGCGUGUUCUCAGCAUCCCUCCGAGGGGAUGCAGCCGGAAUGCUGAAAGCAGUGGUGAUUCCACUUGCUCCUGCCGGGGAGGAGACAACACCCAGAGACCUCAGUCAAGGACCUUCUUACACUCAUUAACAGCGUGAAAAAGAGGUGGGUGGGAAGCACAGCCUGCCUGGAAGAGUGUGGGAGCACAGGGUGGGAUCCGGCUUUUCCAAAGGGGCACAAGAGGGGAGCAAAUGUGGUGGCUCUGUCAAAGCCUUGGCCCCAGAGGCACCAGGCAAGGCUGGAGCCAUCCCUGACCGCACCAACCUGAUCUGCAGCCCAUCCCCUCAGCGACUGCAGCAUGAAGAGCAAUAAAUGCAACCAAAUCCA